rnacentral:rRNA from 1 species
GAUGAACGCUGGCGGCGUGCUUAACACAUGCAAGUCGAACGGAAAGGCCUCUGCUUGCAGGGGUACUCGAGUGGCGAACGGGUGAGUAACACGUGGGUGAUCUGCCCUGCACUUCGGGAUAAGCCUGGGAAACUGGGUCUAAUACCGGAUAGGACAAUGGUUUGGAUGCUGUUGUGGAAAGUUUUUCGGUGUGGGAUGAGCUCGCGGCCUAUCAGCUUGUUGGUGGGGUAAUGGCCUACCAAGGCGUCGACGGGUAGCCGGCCUGAGAGGGUGUACGGCCACAUUGGGGCUGAGAUGCGGCCCAGACUCCUACGGGAGGCAGCAGUGGGGAAUAUUGCACAAUGGGCGCAAGCCUGAUGCAGCGACGCCGCGUGGGGGAUGACGGCCUUCGGGUUGUAAACUCCUUUCGCUAGGGACGAAGCGUUUUUGUGACGGUACCUGGAGAAGAAGCACCGGCUAACUACGUG